GUCCAGGGGCGGGAAUCGUACCCACAACGUUCCGCUUACCGGGCAGAUGCCAUGUCCACUAGGCUACCCUGGA
rnacentral:tRNA from 1 species